rnacentral:rRNA from 1 species
GACGUAUGAGGCAAGCGUUGUUCGGAAUUAUUGGGCGUAAAGGGCGUGUAGGCGGGGAGCUAAGUUAGAUGUGAAAUCCAUGGGCUUAACUCAUGAACUGCAUUUAAUACUGGCUCUCUUGAGUUCGGGAGAGGUAAGCGGAAUUCCCGGUGUAGCGGUGAAAUGCGUAGAUAUCGGGAAGAACACCAGUGGCGAAGGCGGCUUACUGGCCUAGAACUGACGCUAAGGCGCGAAAGCGUGGGGAGCGAACGGG